ensembl:lncRNA
GGGAGGGCGCUGAGCAGGGAGCACCCAAGUUGGUCUGUCUUUACUCCUGGGACCACUCCAGCUUUGCAACCAUCUGGACAGAAAAAGCAUCCAAGUGGGUACCAGCGUUAUGGAUCGAAUGUUUGUGUUCCCCCUACAACAUCCGUAUGUUAAAACCCUAACCCCCAGUGUGAUGGCAUUUGGGGGUGGGGCCUUCAGGGCUCAUUAGGUUUAGAUGUGGUUCUGAGGGUGGGGCCUCCAUGGUGGUAUUAAUGUCCUCAUAAGAAGAGAAAGACGACCAGCACCUCCUCUGUCUCCACGGGCACUUCAACAAGGAAAGGCCAUGUAAGGACAUAGCAAGAAGUUGACUGUCUACAAGCCAGGAAGGGGGUCCUCACCAAGAUCCAAAUCAGCUGGGACUUGGACCUCCAGCCCAGUUUGUUGUUUCAUUAUAGCUCCCAAGUCAACUAUGACAACUGGUAUUAUUGGUCUGACCACACACAAUCCCUGUGCAGUGGUCCACUCAGACCCCAGGGCUCGCAUUGCUGGAUGCCAAGGUCAGACCCGCUCCCAUGCACCCUGCACCCUGCAUACAAGAUCUUAGCUCCCUAACCAGGGAUCAAACCUGAGUCCCCUGCAGUAGAAGUGUGGAGUCUUAAACACUGGACCAGCGGUUAAGGAAUGGCAUUUCUUAAUCAUUCUUAACCAUGAAUAGGAUUGUCCCUAAUCCAUUUUUAAAAUAUUGUUAGCUUUAUUUUCACAAUUCAAAGGCACAAGGGGCUAAAGAAGGCAGAUGUUUGAUUUUCAGCCAAUUCCCCAGGUGGGUAUCAGUGAGUUAUAAGAAAACGACAUGACUUCUCUCCGCCCCAGUCUUUGGUAUUCAUACAAUUUUAAGUGUCAUUUCCCCAGGUUUUGAUUGUUUGUUCUGGUUCCCUGUCUGUUUCCCUGUGACCCAGGGCUGUAACACGUGAGGAGCUAAGGAUGCUCAGACAGGAGGGUGGAUGGUGUGCCCCCACCGAAUUCUGAGACCCAUUGAGGGUGGCUGCCUGACCUCAGUGUCUAAGGGGCCUUGCUCACCCACCUGCUCGGCCCCAGGCUGCCUAAAUUUGGGGCUUUGAAAAAAUAGGAACCUGGAAGUAAACUCUCUCCAAGGCUUCUUGCUCCAUCCUCCACACCUCCUACAAGAUAGAUAUUCUGAUUAUGCCCAUUUUAAGGGUGGAGAGGCUGAGACACCAGCAAGGUAAGCAACUCGUCCAAAGACACGGAACUAGUAGGUGAUGAAAACUAGGACUCAAGCCCAGAUAAUGUGAAAUAAGCCCCUGCUGUUAAUCUCUCCUGCCUUCCUGAUUCUCACAGCAUCUUACCUACUGUGUCCUCAAUACAUGUGAAUGAGAUAUCUCAUUCACGUGAAUGAUGAAAACAGGUUAGACAAGGUCCGGCCAAGGGACAGCCCCUCGGCACCCCCAGAAUGGCCUCAGUCCCCAUCAGUAGCCUCUGAUUCUGGCUGUUGAAUGGACUUCCAACCCACAAAAAAGCAGAAGAGAUGGGAACAAUUUAGUCAAGUCAAACAGUGCCUUUAUAAACAAAAAGAAAUUCAGUUAUUUUGAUGCUUGACUUUUUCUUACUACUUUCAAAUUGGGUCCCAAUUAUUUAGGAGGUCCUAAAUAAUCUGUUCCGGAGUUUUGCCCCAGACCAAUAUCAAUUUAGAGAUUGUGGUUUAUGAAAGUCUUACUCUUUUUCCCUUCUUGAAAAUUGGGACAUUUGCCUGCAUCUGGUUUUCUGGGAUUGUCCAUUUUCCAUAUCUCAUUCACUCCCUCACCACAUUUAUUGAGCAUUUGCCAUACACCAGGCAACAAGGGGAGUCAGGCAGGCAGCCAGCAAUUCUGAUUUCUCAAGGGGGUAAGGGGUGUGUUUGGUCUGGGUCUGGAGAUUUGAACUCCCAAAGGGGCAGCUGCUUGCCCUCUGGCUCCUGCCUUCCUCCUCCCGCCCCAGAAUAUUCCUGACCUGGCUGUCCCAGACGCAUUUCCGCAGUCCUUGUGCUGUUCUUUGCAUUGGGGUGAACUUUCAGGUCCUUCUGAGUUUUGCCUCUCUGAGGCUUUUACAGAAAUCUGUCCCUCUUGCCUUCGCUUCGUCAUCCUCACUUCUGACCUUCGGCUUCUGUCUUUUGACCUUUUCAAAUUCUGAAAUCCUCAGAAGCACCCAAUAUGUUUGGGUGUUUCAGAGGCUUGUCUUCCCAUCCCUGUGGUGGUCUCAGGUUUGUUUGUUUUUUUAAUCACUUGGGAUUUAAGGAGGAGGGGCAGAUCUUGAGUCAUCCGGAAACACCUCUGCCCUUCUGGAGGGAGCCGACUCCAAGAUGCGAGAGUGCUGCUUCCAGGGUGUGGUGGCUCCGCCUGGAUUUACAGACGUGGGGAGGCACAAGACUUCAUCAGCUCCGGCUCACAGCUUUCUACAGACUUCGCUGAGCGGUCUCGCCGGUCACGUGUGGGAAACAGACAAAGGAGGUCAGCGCUGAUUGGACAGCUGAGCCUCCCCCGACCAACGGGACUGAGACACGCCCUAGUGACGAGAUGCUAAUUUUGCAUGUUUCUUUCCCAGGAUGCUCAGCAGUGCUUCUGAUUCUUGUCAUUAAACACAUUUCUGUUAUUUUUUGAUAAAUAGGUGCUCUCGGGGCGGGGGUGUGUGUGUUAAGAGGUGCAUAUUAUUCAUAUUGCAAGUGUUGUACUUUAUAGAUGCCAACUGAAAUAUCACUGUAAGGUAAAAGUGAAUGAAUACUUGAGCUUUAAGUACUGUAGGCGGCUGCAAUGUACAUCGGCUGGUCCGAAGGUAGUGAGUUAUCUCAAUUGAUUGUUCACAGUCAGUUACAGAUCGAACUCCUCGUUCUACUCUUCCCCCCUUCUCACUACUGCACUUGACUAGUCUUUUGCAGAUCUGUCCCCUUUUCUAAUUAUUAAAUACAUUGUUCUUGUCUUGAUUUUGAUUAAAAAAAUUUGGAAGUCAA